AUCUUGAUCCACACACAGACUUCACAAGUAUUUGAUUGUACCUAGUAGCCUUCCAUCACUGUAUUAGAAAUUCAGAUAGUCCAGCACCAAAGCAUAGUGAGUUUCUUGCAAGUCACUAUGAUGAUCUCUGGUCUGAAGGAUACCUAUACCAAUGUGUUUCACGAGCAGCUCUUGAUAGCAGAACGCUCGACAGGUGAGUCACUUGUUCAGUGAUGAUGUACUUCUACAUCUUAUCUGUAUGCCAUACCCGUGUCACCACACUCCUUGGUUAAAAGGAUAACCAACCCAUAUGGUACACAAUAACCUCCACUCGAUAAACAUCAUCAUCCUGUAAUGACGUAUCAUUUGAUCACGAAUAUGUUUAAAAACUAUACGAUAAAUCCUCUCUUUAUCAUACACUAGUAUAGUUCUAAGAACUUCAUCACAGCAUAAGAGUUCAAGGAAGAUGUUACUUUAUGAUGAAAAAAGCCAGAAUAACUUUUAUUCAUUAACCA
rnacentral:lncRNA from 1 species